GAAGAGAUACUCAUCAAGACACUGUAAAGACUAUAACAGAUUCAGUGCCAAGUUUGAUAAAGAAUAUGUCAAGAUAUCAGGACCAUCAGACAAGAGUAUACUAGGUGCUGCUCCAUUUAUUGAAAGAAGACCAGAUACAAAAGCUGACCAACAGACCAAGAUCAAAGACAAGUUGUCCACACUCAAAUCUAUAAGAAGAGCAAGAGGAGAAUGUUUCAAGUGUGGAGCUAAAUGGGGACCUGGUCAC
rnacentral:lncRNA from 1 species